rnacentral:lncRNA from 1 species
GGCCACUCGUAUGUUAUCUGUUUUCAUGUUUCAUGCAGACACUCAAUGUGUUUGUUUAACCUCAGGUAACAUAUUCAGCUUUCUAAUCGGACUACACUGUAUUAGGUGGUGUAUUGAGUGACUAUGUGAUUCGUUUGGUUCAAGAAAGGGAUUCUUUUUUAAUAAAAUGCAACACCGUGGUUCAUGUCGGAGAUACCAGAGGCACAGAAGGCUCACGUUGAAGAACAAAGGGGAUCAAGAGUGUGAGCUUGAAGACGAGGGAGAAAGAUCCAAUGCAGCUUCUUGCGGCAGGGGACGGAGAGGCCCGGCGUUCCCACUCCGUCUGUGAGCGGACGUCGUUGUGGCGAAACGAAUGGCUCACGGUGGAGACGAGGCAAGGCGGAGAUGAGCGGAGAAAGGAAAUUGGUAUCGAGAAUUUUCCGUAACCACUCGGUAUGUCACGGUUUGGGCUUUACGUAGCACCCUAUCUGACUAUAGGGUGAUGGAAACCAGCCCAGCCGAACUAGAUGCCAGUAACGUUUUUGUUAAACGCUGUAAUCGAAAGACGGUGGAAAAGUUAGGAACCACACGCAUCGUUUGCUUCCAGAUGUGUCUCAUUCCCAUCAUGCGUCCAUAAUAUUUUCUGGUGGGUCCAAAACUUUUCAUGUGUCUCAAGGUAGCUCUCCCUAUCCGAACCAAUCAUGUUUGUGGAGAUUCCAGGUUCUAGCUAGUCGGAUAAUGGGCUACACAUAUAGAAGCGAUCAUGGAAUCUCCAACUUGCGCAUAUAAACUCCCUUUUCAUGAAUACAAAUCCAACCUACGCAUGUAUAGCCUUUAAAGAUGCCUUUAAAUCUUCAUUCGGUAUAUAUUUAUUAGAUGCCGGCCAUAGUGUUGCACCAUUAGAACAUUCUUCUCAGAACCUACAAAGCAAUUUCUAAUCCAUUAUUUUCCUUUCACUUCAUAUUAAAAAAGUAAAUAUUGUCAUAUUCUUUCUAUUAGAUGUAGAUAGCAUCAAAUAAAAGAAUCUUAGUACUGACAUUUUCUUUGUCCUACACCACAAGAUUACUUUAUCCUGGGCCAAUGGGUGUCCGUCAACCUAAGCUCGUCUAUGCACACCCACCCAUAUAAACGAGGCAAUGCCUAUGAAGCUUCUCUUCAUAGCUUCCCACCUUGAUUAAUAAUCGGGAUAGGAGAACUCAACCCUGACAUCAAAGGAGUCAAGUCAAAAUUUCGAGAAAUAGUGAGCAACAAUAAUUAGGAUGUGUUUGACCGUAGAAAUUUAAUGGGAAGGGGAGGUAUAGGGAAACACAUCCCGAGUGACAGCCUACCAAGACGUUUCUCCUUGCCGCUAUACCUGAACAGCUAAAUUUAAAACAGCUCAAUGCCGGCACAGGGAGAUCAGUGGAGGGUGGCGCAAGGGUGUGCUGCACAAGGACACUAGACGACUUUCCCAUGUGAAGGAGCUAUAAAUUUUCGUUCUGCGAGAGACACAGACACCAUGUUUCACUAGCAUGACUGAGGGUAUAGAUGUGG